rnacentral:tRNA from 1 species
GCCGGAAUAGCUCAGCUGGUAGAGCGCCUCACUUGUAAUGAGGAUGUCGCGGGUUCGAUUCCUGUUUCCGGCUCCA